UGCAAGUCGAGCGGACUGAUGGGAGCUUGCUCCCUGAAGUCAGCGGCGGACGGGUGAGUAACACGUGGGUAACCUGCCUGUAAGACUGGGAUAACUCCGGGAAACCGGGGCUAAUACCGGAUAGUUCUUUUCCUCGCAUGAGGAAAAGUGGAAAGGCGGCUUCGGCUGCCACUUACAGAUGGACCCGCGGCGCAUUAGCUAGUUGGUGAGGUAACGGCUCACCAAGGCAACGAUGCGUAGCCGACCUGAGAGGGUGAUCGGCCACACUGGGACUGAGACACGGCCCAGACUCCUACGGGAGGCAGCAGUAGGGAAUCUUCCGCAAUGGACGAAAGUCUGACGGAGCAACGCCGCGUGAGUGAUGAAGGUUUUCGGAUCGUAAAGCUCUGUUGUUAGGGAAGAACAAGUGCCGUUCGAAUAGGGCGGCACCUUGACGGUACCUAACCAGAAAGCCACGGCUAACUACGUGCCAGCAGCCGCGGUAAUACGUAGGUGGCAAGCGUUGUCCGGAAUUAUUGGGCGUAAAGCGCGCGCAGGCGGUCUCUUAAGUCUGAUGUGAAAGCCCACGGCUCAACCGUGGAGGGUCAUUGGAAACUGGGGGACUUGAGUACAGAAGAGGAAAGUGGAAUUCCACGUGUAGCGGUGAAAUGCGUAGAUAUGUGGAGGAACACCAGUGGCGAAGGCGACUUUCUGGUCUGUAACUGACGCUGAGGCGCGAAAGCGUGGGGAGCAAACAGGAUUAGAUACCCCUGGUAGUCCACG
rnacentral:rRNA from 1 species